rnacentral:rRNA from 1 species
CCUACGGGGGGCAGCAGUGGGGAAUAUUGGACAAUGGGCGAAAGCCUGAUCCAGCCAUGCCGCGUGUGUGAAGAAGGCCUUCGGGUUGUAAAGCACUUUCAGUGGGGAAGAAAGCCUUGGGGCUAAUACCCUCGAGGAAGGACAUCACCCACAGAAGAAGCACCGGCUAACUCCGUGCCAGCAGCCGCGGUAAAACGGAGGGUGCGAGCGUUAAUCGGAAUUACUGGGCGUAAAGCGCGCGUAGGCGGUCUGAUAAGCCGGUUGUGAAAGCCCCGGGCUCAACCUGGGAACGGCAUCCGGAACUGUCAGGCUAGAGUGCAGGAGAGGAAGGUAGAAUUCCCGGUGUAGCGGUGAAAUGCGUAGAGAUCGGGAGGAAUACCAGUGGCGAAGGCGGCCUUCUGGACUGACACUGACGCUGAGGUGCGAAAGCGUGGGUAGCAAACAGGAUUAGAUACCCGGGUAGUC